rnacentral:snoRNA from 1 species
CAGGUUUAAUGAUGAAAACAUUCAAUUCAACCAGUUAUCCCUGUCAGACAAUGGUGUGGUGAUGGUGUUACUCUGAAAUCAUG